AUUGAACGCUGGCGGCAUGCCUUACACAUGCAGGUCGAACGGCAGCGCGGGAGCAAUCCUGGCGGCGAGUGGCGAACGGGUGAGUAAUACAUCGGAACGUGCCCAAUCGCGGGGGAUAACGCAGCGAAAGCUGUGCUAAUACCGCAUACGAUCUACGGAUGAAAGCAGGGGAUCGCAAGACCUUGCGCGAAUGGAGCGGCCGAUGGCAGAUUAGGUAGUUGGUGAGGUAAAGGCUCACCAAGCCUUCGAUCUGUAGCUGGUCUGAGAGGACGACCAGCCACACUGGGACUGAGACACGGCCCAGACUCCUACGGGAGGUAGCAGUGGGGAAUUUUGGACAAUGGGCGAAAGCCUGAUCCAGCCAUGCCGCGUGCAGGAUGAAGGCCUUCGGGUUGUAAACUGCUUUUGUACGGAACGAAACGGUCUUUUCUAAUAAAGAAGGCUAAUGACGGUACCGUAAGAAUAAGCACCGGCUAACUACGUG
rnacentral:rRNA from 1 species